GUGCUAGCUUCGGCAGCACAUAUAGUAAAACUGGAACAAUACAGAGAAGAUUAGCAUGGCCCCUGCACAAGGAUGACAUGCAAAUUCGUGAAGCGUUCCAUAUUUUU
rnacentral:snRNA from 1 species